UCAUUACACUCUAAUCCCCUCCAAAACAUGUGUGCCGAACGAGGCCUCACUGUCUAACCACCGCCGGUGUCCACUCCCCUCCCUCCCCGCGGCUACCUCGACGACCCGCUCUUCUCCGCCGGUCUCGUCAACCCCGCGACCCAGCGUAGGUCGUAGUCCGGUGGGAGGUCGCGGCUGCUGGUGCUGGUCGCGCAGGUCGCCGAUUUGUGAGGUCUCGGCCACCGGCGCUGGUCUCUCACGCCACCAAUCUGCUAGGUCGUGGCCGUCGGCGCUGGUUGCGGCCUCCUUCGAUCUGCGAGGCCAUGACCUCUGGUGCCCCGCUAGUGAUUCGAGCACUCAAUUGGCUGGUCACCCUUGUUGCGGGCGCUCCCGGUCUGCAAGGUCGCGGCUGCCGACUCUCAUCGCUCCCGGUCUGCAAGCGUGAGUGGACGUAUGCAGUAGGGAAAGAGGAGCGAGGAACUACAGAUGGCUGAGGAUGAGCAGAAGCAAUAAUUGAUUCGGUUGUUAGCCGUCGCGCAGAUACACAGGAUAAUACACUGCAGUGAGUAGAUGUAUGGACUAUGUAGAAGAUAGUUUUCAGGUCGACGCCUAGAGAUUUACAGAAAACGAAACACUGGCUAAAGGCGCCCUACAUGUGAAUCAAAUGCAUCAAGUGGCUUGAGCUCUCAAACCGGUGGAGCGGUGCGGUGCCUUGAGGGAUUCAAACCGGUGGAGGAGCUUCCGCAGCUCGUCGCCGUCCACGAUCUUCGGUGGCGUCCUGGAGAGAGCGGACGGUAUUUCGCCGAGCUGGAGCACGAGUGCGGCCACGCUGGGCGUGCUCCCCACGACGGAGGGCGACCUGGAACCAAGUCAUCUUUUGGCUCACCGGCGGCAGCGCAGGGCGUGUUCUUACCAAGGGAGGAGCAUGCCUGUAGAAGACGAACAAAUCAAAGACAUCCAGUGCCUAAUCGAGGGAAUUUUAUCAGUUUGAUCCUUGCAUUUAGUACGACACAAGCUGAUGAUUCUGAAGAUCUCUGUUGUUGUAUCUUCUCAGUAAGGGUAUUGGCUAUUACAGAAGGAGUAUUCCAUAGAGAAAAUUCAUCCAGAGAGCACAUAACUUGGCAAAAUGAAAUUCUGGACCAGCAUCACAUGAAAUUGUGAAGGCAUUACUGGACACACAAUCUAGAGUAACUCAAGUGAGCAACAAAGCUGGCAGGUCCGACUUUUGAUGUCCCUUGAAACUUGUUUGAAGAAUGGGCAGGGAUAAAAAAGAUUAUAAGCCAAAUCCCCUAUUUGACCGUGUUAUAGAUGUCCUUUUUUAUUCUUCACGCUGAACACAAAAUGAACUGCUCUACAGCUUCAUGUCUUCAAGAUAAAUCAUGUCUUCCAUUAUCCGCGCAAGUAGUAGGAGUAAAUUGGUGCCUAAUUAGAAAUAUUUAUGUAGUGGUGUCGAUGUGUUCACUGCUCUUUCUGGUGCUGUUGGAGCUCUAUAUGGUACACUGCAUGGUGGCGCAAAUAAGGGUUUUAUAGAACCCCAAGUACCGGUUGCCGUACUUCCGCAACAAGGCCAUAGCACCCAUGUAGCGACGCAUCUUGUCACGUGGACCACCGAUAAAUGUUCCCGGCAACAUGAGAUUCAAUACAGUAGAGCAUUGGACGCUUGGUAGCACCCCAGAGCAAGUGGUAAGGGUGAAUACAUGUACAGAGUAUAGAGUAUGGACCUGGAAUCAUUUUGCUCGGACGGGUAGAAGCCUUGUACAUAUGGUUAUAGCAUGAAAUUAGCUGAAGUCGACGACAACAUCAACAGAUUUCUCUUCCCAGGAUCUUCCCUUGAAGGCGAUGCCGCCAAGAAAGCGGGGAAAAAGGGGGUGACCACCGCUACCAAGCAGCAGCAACCGCAACCGCCCGACCCGCCUGGACCUGACGCUCCCGUGCAGGAGAAGCUGCGGUGGCUUGCUGACCAAGAGAAGGUGGUUAUUGAGGGGCUUGAUCGUGCUGUGCUUUCCAUGAAGAAGGGAGAGAUUGCUCUUGUCACUAUUCCUCCUGAAUAUGCUUAUGGUUCAACAGAGUCGAAGCAGGAUCUUCUGUGAUUCCAGCAAACAGCAUUGUGAUUUAUGAAGUGGAGCUUGUAUUAUUUGUAAAGGAUAAGGAGUCAUGGAACUUAAACAAUGCAGAGAAGAUUGAGGCGUUAAGAAAGAAGAGGGCAAUGCAUUGUUCAAAUUGAGCAAAUUUGGCAGAGCUACGUUUGGCAGAUAAGUUUUUAAAUAAAACCUUGUGGGUGAUAUUAAUUCACAUUUAAUGUUUAAGAACAGUACUGGUUGCAAUUACUUCAGUUAAGUUGAGAAAAACAUAUAGGUACUUGAAGGUCUAUAUGCACUAUAGGACAAAUGCAUGAAAGUAUAGGACACAUAGGUAUUUGAAGGUCUAUAUACACUCGUAAUGCAUGAAAGUAUGACCAUCAGAACCGCUAACGAAGUAAUUGGAGUAAAAUAAAAUGAAGGCAUGAACAUUACCAUCAUUAAUCACGGCUGAUUGUGUUGGUGUAUCGGAACCAUUUACGCCUUCCAUGCUCAUCGAUGGGUUUUCAUCUGCUGAUGAUAUCGCAUGCUUCUUACUAUUUGCAUAGAAUGCUUCAUUUCGAAGACCUAGCAAGGCAUGCCUUUCUCCAGGUGUGACAUGUUUUCUCCGUGACUUAUUACUAACAUCCAUGUCAGGCGUCACCUCCCCUGACAUUUGCUCUGCAAUAGGUUCGAUAUAUAUAGGUGUUCCACUGAAAUCAGGGAUAUGCCAAUCACAUGUGGGUAUGAAGCCUUGAGUAUCAGGAGUAUGAAUAACCCCAGGGGUCCAACAUGGGUUCUCCAUGGCUAUGGAUUCUUUACUCAGACUGUUGCUUCGUAACUCUCGGAGAGCUUUCUUACCACGCUUUUUCUUAGGACUCAUAUCGGCAUAACGGAGCCUAUCCCUUGCACGCAUUUUUUCAAUGUUCUCUGAUAACAUGAAUAAUAAAAUGCUUGUAAGCACGAGUGCAUGUAGCUAUGAAGAAAUCAUCAAUAACAAAUCGCUUACCUGAUAAUGAUCUCUUUUGUUGAUAAGUUGCAUUUCUUCUUGCUAGUAGUUCAUUUUUACCAUCGGUAUUCAUUUGUGCAUAUCUCUCCCUUUCCCGCUCCCUUUUCUUCUCCGUGCAAUCAACAACGGGUGGCUGAAUGCGGGAUGACGUGGGUUCAUUACUACCGCAGUUCUCCAUGUUAGCUAGAAUAAGCAAACCACAUUAAUAAUAAGCAAUAUUAUUAUUUUUUUAUAUCAUUCUAUAUGGCAAAGCAACUUCACACAGUAAACAUGAAUAAGUUGCAAUCAUACCAGUAGGGAUGAUUGUUUGCCCUUGAAAUGGCAUAUGAAUUGACUGCCUCUUAUAGUUGUCAUUUCUUCUUAGCCAUUCAUCAUCUUCUGAAGGAACUUCAGUUUCCUUGUUCGCUAAAGGAACUUCAUUUUCCUUGUUAACUGAGUUUGAUGAUUUUCGUUUUUGAACAGAUUCACGUUGUUUUUUCAGAAAGUUUUCUUUUUUUGUGCUAUCCAUAUGUGCAUAUCGCUCCCUAGCUUGUUGCCUCCUCCGCUCCUUUGGACAUAUGGGUGUUGCGUGAACACUCAAUGAAGUGGGUCCAUCAGUACAACUAUUAUAGGUGUCAACAUUUUCUACACAGAAAAAUAUCACAUAUGUAGCUACAUUAGAUAUGAACUAUUAGAUAGUUGCACUAUUUUUUUUUUGUAGAGAAAUUAGGUGCCUACAUACCAGUCACGAGACUCCGUUGCCCCUGGUAUGCCUCAUUUUCAGCAGCUACACCAUUUUCUAUGUUUGUAGCAGUGUCUCCUUAUCAAAACAAAAGGAGCGUGUGAUUUAGUUGCAUUAUAUACAUGAAUUAAACAUAGGAGCUAUAAAUUGCAAAAACCCAACAUGUGGUUUAGUGCACCUUUAACAGCGGGUGUGCUUUCUAGUUGAGUGAGUGCAGAUGGACCUCCACUUGACUCUUGCGUGCCUGUAACAGAUUGUGUGCUUUGUAGUUUAGCUUUCUUCCGCUGAUAGGAUUCACGACGCUUCUUAAGUAGCUCCUCUUUCUUUUGUGGAUCCAUCAGUGCAUAUAUCUGUCGACGUUGUCUAUUGCGUUCUUUCCCAUCUAUAGGUUCCCCUCCAUUACUGGUGUCCGCGACACCUAAUAAAAUAAACAAUGUAAUCAGUUGUUGAGCAUUGGUUGAUUGACUUACACAUUAUAUAUCAUUGUAGUUACUUGUGGUGAUGCUGUUGGACAAGUCUUUGAACGGACUACGUUCACUCGAUCGUUUCGACGGAUCCAUCUGCAAGUUAGACGGAGGAAACAUGAAUGAUUCGUCGAACUUACCAGAGAUCAAAUCGAUAUGUCGACGGGACCUUCGAAAUUUCCACUUGCAUAUGUCUUGGUUUGCUGGCCGUGCUAAUUGUCUGGGAAAGUAGAACAAAAUCUGGAUAUAUCUAAAGCUUGCAAUGUGAUUUGUUUCGCUGGAAGGUAAUAUGGAUGAAGAACUGAGCAGCGGUUGGUCAGACAUAGGGAACAUGUUUUCACAUAUGCCCAAAUCAUGAUAAGUGAGCAACAAUGAUACCAGGUAAUGUAUGCAGGAAGAAACAUUUACAUAGCAUUGCGAGAAGAAAGUUGUAGCUACUGGAUACCAAGAAUACAUUAGAGGACUUACAUUUGUGUCAGCUAGGAUGGCGUGGUAAAUAAGAUCUCCCAUCCGAGUCAUUUUAAUUCGCGCGGUCACAAUUUUCGCGAUCGUCACCCAACCAUGACCGUAGUAUUAUAGUGUAGAAAGAAGAAGUUACAAGUGAGGAUUCCAGGCGAAACGAGAGUACGGCCUUGGUGGCAUUAUUCUCUUCGAGCAGGCGCGUCCGAAGCUAAGUUGUACUGCCAUGGUUACUUUGUAAGGUUGAAGAUUGGUUGCACCAUAUUCUGCUAAUUUCUAGGCCGGGUCCUGCUUUUGUACAUCAAGUAUUCUGCCCGGGUGCUAUUCACGUCAUCAUUAACCUUCAUUCCAUUUUUCUUCAUAUUACCUUAUGGGACGAUAUUGUUUAUGGAAUGAUCUUGACUAUGGGCGAAAUUGAUUCUGGGCGAGUUUGACUGGGCGUGAUUAAAUUCCUUUUGGUAAUUA